UUUUUUUUUUUUUUUUUUUUUUUUUUUUUUAGGGCAAUACCUGCAGCAUAUGGAGGUUCCCAGGCUUAGGGUCAAAUCAAAGCUAUAGCAGCUGGCCUACACCACAGCCACAGCAACACCAGAUCCAAACCACAUCUGUGACCUACACCACACCUCGUGGGAACGCCAGAUCCUUAACCCACUGAGCGAGGCCAGGGAUCAAACCCACAACCUCAUGGUUCCUAGUCAUGUUCGUUUCUGCUGUGCCAUGAUGGGAACUCCAUGGAUUGCCCAUUUCUAGUACCGCUUCUCUCCAUCUGAUCUUAACCAUUUUGCCUCAUUACCUUUCUUCUUUUUUAUGAUGUUUUCUGCAGUGUUUCCCCAAAUUCAUUUCUUUAACAUCUCUCAGAUCUGCCCCUCUUGUUUUCCUCCACAUCAUCACUGCCCUGACUCAGGCCUGUGCUGUUUCUUGCUUGUGUCAUUGAAAGAGCCUCCAACAGGAUUCAAUGUUCAGCAUUGUCUUUCUUGUCUUUUCUGCAUGCCGUAGGCAGAGCUUUCUAAGUGCAGAUUCUACUUUAAUUAUAUCAUUGCUUUUCUUAUAAUAAUACUUCAGUUGCUCCCUAUUAUUCUUAGAAUAAAAUUAGACUUUCUCCCAAAGGCAAACAAAUCCUUUUCUCAUUUUAUUUUAUUUUAUUUAUUUAUUUAUUUAUUUAUUUAUUUAUUUUUUAAGGCUGCACCCACAGCAUAUUGAAGUUCCCAGGCUAGGGAUUAAAUUGAAGCUAUAGCUGCUGACCUAUGCCACAGCCACAGCAACGCCAGAUCCAUGCUGCAUCUGUGACCUACAUCACAGCUCUAGGCAAUGCUGGAUCCUUAACCCACUGAGUGAGGCCAGGGAUUGAACCCACAUCGCCAUGGAUACUAGUUGGAUUCGUCCGCUGAGCCACGAUGGGGAGUCCCCCAGUCUCAUUUUAAAUUAUCUUCUCUUACUUUCUUCUUUCCCCUCUGCCUUCCUCUUGCUUUCCAAUCCACUUGAAAUUCAACUACACUGACCUUCCUCCAUGUCCUCCAAUGUAUAGUUUUCUCUUUCAUCGUUCUUUUUCCAACCCUUACUCUGUCUACUAACUCCAACUCUUCCUUCAGUCUUAAUCCCAGCUUUUACUCCUUCAGCCUCCCCUGACCCACCAGUGGUCUUGGUUACGUAACCCGUAUACACUCAACACUGUCUGUUGGAUUCAUUUAUUUCACUAUGUUUCUCCCUUUAAAGGCUGCAAAUUCCUUGAGCACAGUGAUGUUUUAUUCAUCUCUACAUUUAGUCCAGAGGCUGGCAUAUAGGUACUUUAAAACAUGAAUAGUCCUUUUAUGCUGAGAUGAUAUUCAAGAUGCUUACCUUCUAAAUUAAAGAUCUCUUCUCUGAUUCUAGCAGUUACCAAAUAUCCUUCACUCUUCUUAAGUGUGUAUUUCUAAAGUUUCUCCAAACACAUUAAUUCUUUUGGUGAUUUUCCUAUGUAGCCUAGGGAUUAUAUGGUCCAUGGGACAUCUCUCUCUCUCUCUUUAAUAUAAACAAAAGUUCUUAAAUCCCUCUGUCCUUCCGCAAGCCAUGUGAGAUAAUGAGGAAACUCAGUAAGAGACACAUGGUCUCUGAUCACACGUGGUCAUCUUGUAACAUCUUCCCUCUCCUUCUCCUCAUUUAUCGCCUCCUGAAUGAGCACACAUUCUCUGUGCUAAGUUUUUUUCCUUAACUGUCUUUUUGUUAAACGAACAUCUACUGAGCAAAUACUAUGAAUGAGUCAGUGUUAUUAUAUUAAGUAUAUAAUUGUCAAGCUCAGGAUUAAAAUGUAGUAUUAUAAAGGCUAAAUAUGUCUUUAUGUUUUAAAUGUAUGGUUUAUAGUUCUUUACUUUUUUUUGCAUUGGAUUGUAAAGUUUGGAAUAAUAAAGAUUAUUUUAUUUACCAAUCCUGUAUCAUAUUUCCACAACCAGGUUAUAGAAUAAAGAGAUAGAUAGCCAAAUCUAUUUUAGAACCUAAAUAUUCACAGAGAAGAAAGGAUGAGGGAAAUUUACAAAAUAACAUAUAAAGCCCUCAGGUCAAAGGCAAGCAUCAGAGCAAGUUUAAAGGUGUGUGUGUACCCAAGGCAAAAAGAGUUUCAGACCUUUCCUGUGGUUAUGUAUGUAACCAGUGUCUGAGUUUGACCUGGAGCGAGGCACAUACAACUAUCUAUGCCAGAGGAGAAAUGCACUUUCUUUGAGUAGUGCCUUUCUCUGAAAUUUUUUUCAGAGCAAUUUCCAUUUAUUUUAUACUUUACUCUUAGUGAGACCUUAUUUCCUUCUUGUUCAUUCUCAAUCAUUUAUUCAUGUCUUCAUCAAAAUAAUAAUUGAGCAUUCACUUCUGGACUGGAAAUAUUCUGGCAGUGGGCAAUAGAGCAGUGAACAGAACACACAGAAAUACCUACCCACAAAAUAUUUAUGUUCUAGUGGAGGGAGAUAGACAAUAAUAGAGAUAAAUAAGUAAUAUUUUAGAAUGUUAGGUAGUGAUAAGUACUCUGGAGAACAAAAAUUAAGUGGAAAGGUUUAUCCAAAGGUGUAUCGCCAAAGGAGUUUGUAGGUGCAAUUUAAAUAGAGAAAAGCACUCCAGGCUGAAGGGACAGCAAAGGAAAAUACCCUGAGGUAAUGAGUUUUUGUGGAGUAUUCCAGGAGGCAAGGAGGCCAGUGCGCUGUAAUGCAGGGAGUGGUGGAAAGAGGAGAUAAAGAGAUAAUGGUCUAUAGGGCUUUAUAGGUCACUGUUCAGAGUUGUGUACUUACCCUGUUAAGACUUUGAUGUUAACUCUAAAGUGUGAGGCCAUUGGAGGGAUUUGAGAAGAUGAAAGGCGUGACCUGACUUAUGUUUCCAAAGGCCCUCCUGGCUCUUAUGUUGAGAAUGGAUUGAUGCAUGCAGGAUGGAAGCAAGGAGACCAGUUCAUUCACAUAUUGUGUAAGAGUAUUGUAAUAGGAGAAGGAUGAUGGUGGCUUGGCAAAAGUGAUAGCAAUGGAAGCAGAAUAAGUGAUCACAUUUUGGAAUUGUUCUGAUGAUAGAAGUGAUAUGAUUUCAUGAUGAAUUAGAGAUGGACAAUGACAGAAAGAUGAAUCCAAGGUGUUUCAGCAUGAACAACCAAAAGAAUGGAGCUUCCAAAAGUUGAGAAAAAGAAAAUUAUGUGAGGGGCAAAUUUUAGAGGGAAAAGAUGGGGAGUUUUGUUUUAGAUAUAGUAAGUUAGAUUACCUGUUAGAGAUUUCCAAGGGGAGAUGUUGAGUAGAUGGAUGUAUAAAGAAGUCUAGGGUCCAGUGGGAGCUGUUCAGGAUGGAGAUUUGUUGAAUGUGGUAAUAGAUAUUACAGGAAAUAGAAAGUAGCUCUAAAAUACCAUCUUUGCUUUCUAGAAAUGUGUGCUCUACUGACUGGGCAUGUUAGAUACAUAAAAGUAAUUAACAAAUAAUGUAAAGUAGUAGAUGUAAUAUAUCUAUAAAGUGUGGGUAUCAAAAUGAGUGCUGGUGUAGGAGGUACAGUAAUCCCUCAGAGAAGUGUACAUUUAGGGAAAGGUCUGGUGAGAAGUCGAGAUUUGAAGUAGCUUGGAAGCAUGUGUUAAAUUUCACUGAUUACAAAGGGGGGAGAGGUAUCCCAGGCCCAGAAGGUACAAAGUGAGAACAACACAAAACUCUUGAAACACAGAUGAGAUCUUCCCAUCUGUGUGGGAUGUAUGUAUAGAAAUCCCAAAUUAGGCCACACAGUGUAGAAUUGCUGAAGAAGGGAUGUUAAUUUGACCUGGCAAGAAGUAUCCCUAGAGUUUUCUGAAUUAGCAAGUAACAUAUGCAAUACAUUGUUUUCAGUAAAUGAAACCUGCCGCCAUCUUGAAGUUAAUCAGUUCUGCAGAUCCAGCUUUGAUAUUUCCUCUAAAAUAUUGUCCAUCAGAAGCCUGAAGCCGAACUGAUAGGAAAAGAUGUCUAAUUUCAUAGGUGUGAAGUACUUUCAUUGUUUUAAAAUAGAAAUAGAUCUAAUUGAUCUAUAUAUGUACAAUUUAUGUGAAAUUAUUAUCAUGUUCCCAGGUUUGCACUUUUGAUCAUUUGGAAGCAGUUAUAUUAAUGUUAUGAAUUUGGGUAGUCUGGGAUAAUGUGUAUCUUUUAGCUCUAGGCAAUCUGUCUUUCUACCCUAUAAGAAAAUUGGCAGUUUUCUAUUGGCCAGUAAAAACCAUCCUGCAGAAAGAGAAGGUAACAAUAGGAACUAUGGAGGUUAAAACUCGAAACAUGUUUGCCUUCCAUGAAGUGGCUGUGCUUGCCCUGCUUCUAGUCACACCUUAGUUUUCCAAGCUGACUGUAUAAUCCGAGUCUUUCUCCGGAGAUAAUACAGGGUGCAGGCCCCUUCAAAGAAGGGAUUUGUGCUUGCUGCCAGCUCCCGGAGCUCUGUUCUGUCGAGUAGUUAAGAUCUCCAGAGUGGCUUAUAGGCUUUGUGUAAUUUCUAUCUGCACCCAGACAGCUGGACUUCAUUUCGUUUUAUUUGCAUUUAAUAAUAAGCCGCCUUUCCUUAGCUGUUAAAUUGUGAAUUAUCAAACACUAUCAAAUCCUCCUGCCCAUAUUCUGACUACACUUACUUUGAAACAGACCCAUUGGUAACACUCUGGUUCCAGGGAAAAGCUGGGCUUCGUGCCAUAUAUUUCAGGGUGGGAACUACUCUGAUAUAUUUCUUUGGGGGCUAAAAAAUGCCGUUUCUGAUCUAAUGCGAACACUGGGAACAGCACAGCAAGCUUUGUGGAGGAUUCAUCUUUAAUUAUUAAAACAGGAGAGAUCAUUCAUGCCUCUUUGAAGUUCUUAUUUUAUUUUCAGGAGAGGAAAUGAAUGUACAAGUCACUACAUGUGAAACAGGGUAAAAGUGAGUGUAAAAAGAAGAAAAGAACGAGUAACAGAAGAAAUAGACAAUAGAGGGAAAUCGUGACUGUAAAGAGGAAAGGAACAGUAGAAGUGAGAAGAAAGGACAGAGAUGGUCUGCUUGGUAGGAAGCUGGGACAUAGCUCUCAAUAAUAUUUGGAAAUAAGUGGAUUUGAGAUCUCUUUGCUAAGUCAACUGUUAGCAGCUACUGGGCUUAAAAGAGCUAAUGAUAAAGGAAAGGAUGAGGAAUAAGGGGGAAAGAUUUUACAUAUUAAAUCUUGCUGAGGCAUUAUGUCUUCUUGCUGUGGAAUUGGAAGAAAAAACAUAUAUAUAUAAAAACUGAGGAAGCUAGAAUGGGGUGAGGAAUUGUAAGGAAGAACAAAUCACGACCAGAAUAAAAAGUCAGUCAAUAUCAAGCAUCAAAGAUCUCAGUGUGUGGUUUUUCUUUCUGUCUAAAAGUGUCCAGUCCUGGUAAUUAGAAAGUGAGCAUAAUGAUGGGCUGGUCUGAAUCAUGCUUUAAUGAGUCAAAAUUACAGCAAGCUGGCAUCCGUUAUACGGAAGCAUUUGUGUUGGGGGGAAGGUUGGGGGGACAAGGUGUCAUUUUUCAGGAGAGAACAUUACUAAAGCCCUAGGUGUAUUGACACAACUGGUCAUGGGCUCCAGGCCGGGAGUAGCAGAGGGAACACAGGAUUUAUGUGCACUAAUGGACUCUGUGAUUAUUAUUCUCCAUGUUAUUAUUGUUAUCAUGGAUAAUGUACAUAUACAUCAACAAUUAAUUAUUGGGAGCUCCCCUUGUGGCUCAGCAGAAAUGAACCUGACUAGUAUCCAUGAGGAAAUAGGUUCAAUCUCUGGCCUCACUCAGUGGGUAAAGAUCCGGUGUUGCUAUGAGUUGGGGUGAAGGUCACAGACAUGGCUUGGAUCUCCCAUUGCUGUGACUGUGGUGUAGGCUGGCAAUUGCAGCUCCAAUUCAAUGCCUAGCAUGGGAACUUCCAUAUACUUCAGGUGCAGUCCUAAAAUACUAAAUAAAUAAAUAAAUAUCAUUUAGUUGCUUCUCAUGCUUGAGGAACUAGAGCCUUUUCUGGCUUACAGUGAAAAAACUGUAAGUUAAAGAGUGAGUUUGGACCUGGGAGAUGCUACUGUUAACCACAGACCCUGGACAGACAUUUGCUACUCUCUAAUGAGGUUCUCUCUUAUUUUAUUGUCCUCUAACCUGAUAUAUAUAUGGGAUUAAAAUGAACUUUCCCCAAUAAAGAGAGGAAUAUGGAAAGGAAACAAAAAUAUUUGUGUAUGUAGCGCCUGAAGCAUCUGGAGUCAGAGGACCAAAUUCACUAGUUCUCCAGCAUAAUAGCAUCAGUUCCAACCCAGGACACAAUCAUAAAACAGCACUCCAGUGCACAUAAAACAACUAAAUCCUCUCUUCCUUGCUGCUCCAUCAUCUCAUCUAUUCUUCAUGCUACCAACGUUGCAGUACACCUUAAACUAAUUAGAAACAGAUUUCCCAUUUCCUCAUGGCUUUAUAUUUAGUUUGUCAAUGAGCCAAUUUCUCGGCAGAUUCACUUUAAUGACACACAGCUAAGGAAUUCCCAUUGUGGGGCAGUAGAAAUGAUUCCGACUAGUAUCCCAUGAGGAUGUAAGUCUGAUCCCUGAACUGCUCAGUGGGUCAGGGAUCCAGCAUUGUCAUGAGCCGUGGGGAAGGUUGCAGAUGUGGCUCAGAUCCCAUUUUGCUGUGGCUCUAGCUUAGGCUGGCAGCUGUAGCUCUGAUUCGACCCCCAGCCUAGGAACUUCCAUAUGUCAUGGGUACAG
rnacentral:lncRNA from 1 species